UCCCUCUCUCUACAUGCACAAAGAAGCCUUGUGAGAGCACAGUGAGAAGAUAGCAGGAAGAAGGCUCUUAUAAGGAACUGAAGGAGCUGGUUACCUUGAUCUGAGACUUGCCAGCCUCCAGACUGUGACAAAUAAAUGUCUAUUGUUUAAGCCACCCAGUCUGUGGCAUUGUGUUAUGGCAGCCGGAGCUAAUACAUGGCUCUCUAGAAAUUUUGUAAAAGAAGAUUUGGAAAGCUCUGAGUCAUGUUAGCCUUCUUGGAAUUAUUUUCCACUCACCAAAGGAGACUCAGUAAAGAGAAAGGAACUCAGGCACUCAUUUGGAUAUACCUUGUGUGAACCCUGGAGACAUGAAGAUAGUAGACCCACUCCUGCUUUCUUGACCUUCAGAGUCAAUAGUCGAUAAACUAUUUCACACUGUACAAAUUGUACCACCCCUUCCAUAAAGGUUUCCCAGCAUUCCUUGCUCAUUGUGGUGCUCUCCUCAGGAGUCCUUGGAACCUGUGGUCUCUAGUAUGCAAUCCAGCCCUCAGCCCUCAGAUGACCUGCAGAAUGAUCAACCACUCUUUCAGGUGGGGUCCCUUCCCUCCUAAUGACAGUGAACUCACUGAAGGCAGGGUUUAGUUGUUGUCGUCUUUUUUUCCUUCUUCUUUUUUAACUUUCUAAAUCUGGCCAAGAGCCUUAUGCAUAACUAGGCAC
rnacentral:lncRNA from 1 species